GAAGAGGGGAACAGCUGAGUGGCAUGCAAACAUAAAUUGCAGUUAACACAGCUGGUGCCAACCUAUGCCACCCUUAAAUGACUUCCUCUCCUGUUGCAAAUGAAGCUUGGCAAUAGUGCUAAUUGCAGUAGAUUUACACUGUUUCCCUGCAAUGUGGGAGGCAAAGGCAAAGCUGCUUAGCAGCAUCCUGAUGGAUAUACGCUGACAUUUGCAGUCUGUUGCCAUGGUCGCCCUGGGACUUUUGUUUUGAAAAGGGAUUUUUUUUUUCAUGCUUCUAUCAGAUGACGUCAUGGAUGUCCAUGGAUGUGACAGGCCACCUUUUGGUUGGAGGUUUAAAGAGACAGCCUCCAGCUGCAACACUAGCCCUGGCUAUUGUCUGAGAUGCUGAUAUAAAGAUGGGGGAUAAUUCUUUUCCCUAGCUCAAUUCCAAAGAAGCUUCUCACUUAGCACUACCUUCAGGAACAGCAAUGUAAGUUAGCAUGCUAGAACUGCCUGAGUAAAGAAGCACAUUCCUUCCACACCUCCUCUUUAUUAGAGAGUAUCGAGUGAAAUCCUCUUUUCUUAAAGAAACACAAAGCAGCCAAUAGAGCAAGAUCACUGCUGGGAAGAGUACGGAAGUCGUGUGAAAACUUUAAAGAAGGACACAUACGGCUAUAAAAGAAAGAGAUUUUUCUAGGCUGAGCGCAAAGGCACUGCCCAUGAGAAUAACAGAUAGCAAGAAAAAGAUGAGAGAAUGUCAUAAGAAGAAAUGACAUCCUGUUUUCUUUGGAGAAAACACUUGUAAGGUGCUCCAAAAGCUUAAAAAAAGAAAACCCAAUGGGCAAAGCAAUGGAUUAUGCUGCUGAUGACAAGCCGCCGAAAGAGAACUACAGGAACACCUUGUCUGAAUUGAGAACAGUUGUAUCCUUUAUGCUAAUCCAAAUCCAGCAGUUCAUCCUGAGCCAAGGUCACUGCCAUUUAGUUCUCAUUGGGACUCAUUUACCUGGUAUGGCAUCUGCCAUUAAAUAAUCUCAGUGCAAGAUAGCGGUGAACUUAGCCUCUGUGCUCCUACCCAGGAUCAUUAUAGGGGGGAAGGCUUUGACAGGGAGGAUUUCAACUUUGUCGCUUGCCAAAUAAAUAAUAAUCUUAGUAAAUGCCGUGUCAGUAAACAUGACAGUGAAAAUAUAAUUUUACUACAGGUAACUGCACUUUUAUGAAUGUAGUGACAUUAAAGAGAGGACGGAAUUCUGCUUUGAUGGGUUUUAAUAUUAUUUUAAGAGUUGGUAAGACUACAUUUAAAGGGGACGUGUCAAUAGAAAAUGACUUACAGCUUAAAUAAAAAAAAUUUCAGAAGAUAUCCAGCUCACCGUGCAGUCACCCUUCGCUCGGACUGUGCUAUGGCAGGCACACAGUGCAAUGUAGCAAACAAGAAGGAGGUUGUCCAGCGAGGA